AUUGAACGCUGGCGGCAGGCCUAACACAUGCAAGUCGAGCGAGUGGCGGACGGGUGAGUAAUGUCUGGGAAACUGCCCGAUGGAGGGGGAUAACUACUGGAAACGGUAGCUAAUACCGCAUACCAUCGGAUGUGCCCAGAUGGGCUUAGCUAGUAGGUGGGGUAACGGCUCACCUAGGCGACGAUCCCUAGCUGGUCUGAGAGGAUGACCAGCCACACUGGAACUGAGACACGGUCCACACUCCUACGGGAGGCAGCAGUGGGGAAUAUUGCACAAUGGGCGCAAGCCUGAUACAGCCAUGCCGCGUGUAUGAAGAAGGCCUUCGGGUUGUAAAGUACUUUCAGCGAGGAGGCGUUACUCGCAGAAGAAGCACCGGCUAACUCCGUGCCAGCCGCCGCGGUAAUUC
rnacentral:rRNA from 1 species